AUGCCUUAAACUGAUGAGUAAGGAAAAUAACGACCCGGGUUGACGCCCGUGUCCUCGUUCAAACUACGAGAAGAAUUUUUGAAAGGGGAUAGGUCCUCCUGCUGAGGUGACUUGUCUACUUUGCGAGAUGCCUUGCGGGAUCUGGAUCUUCCCU